UUGAACGCUGGCGGCAGGCCUAACACAUGCAAGUCGAACGGUAACAGGAAGCAGCUUGCUGCUUUGCUGACGAGUGGCGGACGGGUGAGUAAUGUCUGGGAAACUGCCUGAUGGAGGGGGAUAACUACUGGAAACGGUAGCUAAUACCGCAUAACGUCGCAAGACCAAAGAGGGGGACCUUCGGGCCUCUUGCCAUCGGAUGUGCCCAGAUGGGAUUAGCUUGUUGGUGGGGUAACGGCUCACCAAGGCGACGAUCCCUAGCUGGUCUGAGAGGAUGACCAGCCACACUGGAACUGAGACACGGUCCAGACUCCUACGGGAGGCAGCAGUGGGGAAUAUUGCACAAUGGGCGCAAGCCUGAUGCAGCCAUGCCGCGUGUAUGAAGAAGGCCUUCGGGUUGUAAAGUACUUUCAGCGGGGAGGAAGGGAGUAAAGUUAAUACCUUUACUCAUUGACGUUACCCGCAGAAGAAGCACCGGCUAACUCCGUGCCAGCAGCCGCGGUAAUACGGAGGGUGCAAGCGUUAAUCGGAAUUACUGGGCGUAAAGCGCACGCAGGCGGUUUGUUAAGUCAGAUGUGAAAUCCCCGGGCUCAACCUGGGAACUGCAUCUGAUACUGGCAAGCUUGAGUCUCGUAGAGGGGGGUAGAAUUCCAGGUGUAGCGGUGAAAUGCGUAGAGAUCUGGAGGAAUACCGGUGGCGAAGGCGGCCCCCUGGACGAAGACUGACGCUCAGGUGCGAAAGCGUGGGGAGCAAACAGGAUUAGAUACCCUGGUAGUCCACGCCGUAAACGAUGUCGACUUGGAGGUUGUGCCCUUGAGGCGUGGCUUCCGGAGCUAACGCGUUAAGUCGACCGCCUGGGGAGUACGGCCGCAAGGUUAAAACUCAAAUGAAUUGACGGGGGCCCGCACAAGCGGUGGAGCAUGUGGUUUAAUUCGAUGCAACGCGAAGAACCUUACCUGGUCUUGACAUCCACAGAACUUUCCAGAGAUGGAUUGGUGCCUUCGGGAACUGUGAGACAGGUGCUGCAUGGCUGUCGUCAGCUCGUGUUGUGAAAUGUUGGGUUAAGUCCCGCAACGAGCGCAACCCUUAUCCUUUGUUGCCAGCGGUCCGGCCGGGAACUCAAAGGAGACUGCCAGUGAUAAACUGGAGGAAGGUGGGGAUGACGUCAAAUCAUCAUGCCCUUUAUGUCCUGGGCUACACACGUACUACAAUGGCGUUAAACAAAGAGAAGCAAGACCGCGAGGUGGAGCAAAACUCAAAAACAACGUCUCAGUUCAGAUUGCAGGCUGCAACUCGCCUGCACGAAGUCGGAAUUGCUAGUAAUCGUGGAUCAGCAUGCCACGGUGAAUACGUUCCCGGGCCUUGUACACACCGCCCGUCACACCAUGAGAGUUGGGAAUACCCGAAGCCUGUAAGCUAACGCAAGAGGCAGCAGUCGAAGGUAGAAUCAAUGAUUGGGGUG
rnacentral:rRNA from 1 species